rnacentral:lncRNA from 1 species
AAGCAGAUCGGCGGCCGCGGGGAGGUUCGGGGCGGCGCAGCCCCGCGCGGUUGUGGGAUCGCUCCCGGGGGCCGCUCCUCUCUCGGGCACUGGGGUCGCGGGAGACGUCGUCGGGAGCUCGGUUUCUGGAGGCCCUUCCCCACCCGGCCUCUGCCUCCUCCACUCCCCCGGGCUGGACGGAACGGGGCCCAGCGCGGGAUGCGAGGCUGGAGGGCAGUGGCGCAAUCUCGGCUCACUGCAGCCUCGAACUCCUAGGCUGAAGCGAUUCUCCCGCCUCAGCCUCCAAAGUAGCCGGUACUACAGGCGCGCGCCACCACGCCUGGCUAAGAAAUAACCAUGGAUAUGGGUAGAGACAGAGCCAUAUGGAAUGCACACUGCAGUGGUGAACACAUGGCCCAGCUCUGCCAUCAAGGAGAAGGUGAGAACAUGGGGGAAGAUUUUAUCGAAGUUUCUUUUCUGGGGCAUAUGCUCAGGUUAAACACCUGCUCUGUAUCUCUAGCUUCUGACUCCUACCCCUGGCCAGCUCUGUUACUCUAGUACACUGCUAGGCAGGCAGAGUAUGGCCAAAGUAUUCACAACAGUGCAUCACUAAAUCAACUGGGAUCCACACAAUGGAAUAUCCUAAUGCAUCAUUAAAAAUCACAUUGUAAAAGAAGAUUUUAUAACAGAAAAAAAUGCACUGUAUAUGAUACAUUUUUAAAAUGUUACUUAUGCCAGUCACAAUAAAAGACAAUUACACUUAUAUGGGAUAGAGUAGUCAAUAUUAUAGAGACAGAAGGUAGAAAUGGGUCUGGGUGGAAAUUAGAAUGAGAUGUUCUUAGCAUUCCAGUUUUACAAGAUGAAAAGAGUAACGGAGACAGAUGGCAGUGGUGGUUGCAUGACAUUAUGAAUGUACAUAAUUAAAAAUGGGUAAGAUGGCACAGUGAGAUACCAUCUCACACCAGUCAAAAUGGCUAUUACUAAAAAGUCAAAAAAAUAACAGAUGCUGGGGAGCUUGUAGAGAAAAGGGAAUGCUUAUACACUGCUAGUGGCAGUGUAAGUUAGUCCAGCCACUGUGGCAAUUCCUCAAAGAACUUAGAACUAUCAUUUGACCCAGCAAUCCCAUUACUGGGUAUAUACCCAAAGGAAUAUAAAUUGUUCUGCCUUAAAGACACAUGCAUGUGAUUGUUCAUUGCAGCACUCUUUAUAAUAACAAAGACAUGGAAUCAACCUAAAUGCUCAUCAACAGUAGACUGGAUAAAGAAAAUGUGGUUCAUAUACACCAUGGAAUACUAUGCAGCCAUAAAAAAGAAUGAGAUUAUUUCCUUUGCAGGAACAUGAAUGGAGCUGGAGGCCAUCAUCCUUAGUGAACUAACACAGGAGCAGAAAACCAAAUACCACAUGUUCUCAUGUGUAAGUGGGAGCUAAAUGAUGAGAACACAUGGACACAAAGAGGGGAACAACAGACACUGAAGCCUCCUUGAGGGAGGAGGGUAAGAGGAAGGAGAAGAUCAGAAAAGAUAACUACCAGGUACUAUGGUAGCUUAGUACCUGGGUGAUGAAAUAAUCUGUACACCCAACCCUCAUGACAGAAGUUUACCUGUGUAACAAACCUGCACAUGUAUCCCUGAAACUAAAAGUUUUUUAAAAAGUUAUUUAAUAUAUAUAUAUUUUUUUGAGACGGAGUUUUGCUCUUGUUGCCCAGGCUGGAGUGCGGUGGCGCAAUUUCGGCUCACCACAACCUCCGCCUCCCAGGUUCAAGCUAUUCCCCUGCCUCAGCCUCCCUAGUAGCUGGGAUUACAGGCUUGUGCCACCACGCCGGCUAAUUUUGUAUUUUUUGUAGAGACGGGGUUUCUCCAUGUUGGUCAGGCUGGUCUCGAACUCCCGACCUCAGGUGAUCCACCCCCCUCGGCCUCCCAAAGUGCUAGGAUUACAGGCAUGAGCCACUGCGCCCGGCAAAAAGUUAUUUAAUAUUAAUGGGACAAUACUCAUUGCAAGAAUCAGACUUCAAUUGCUAGCAUAAGUAAAUGACAGGCAGGAGAUAUUGAAAAUGCAAUCUUAUAGACAUUCAAGGAGAGGACGCAGGACAUUUCUGUGUCAUAAAUGUACUAUGGAAAAUAAAAAUGAGAAAAAUGGAAAUAAAAUACAAGAAAAGGUUAUGAUAAAUUUCAUAUUAUUUUACCACAAUAAAAAAAUUUUAAUAAAUUAUAAAUGGUGUGAUAUGUUUUGCCUGUGUUCCACCCAAAUCUCAUCUUGAAUUAGAGCUCCCACAAUUCCCACGUGUUGUGGCUGGGACCCUGUGGGAGAUAAUUGAAUCAUGGGGGCAGUUUACCCCAUACUGUUCUCUUGGUGGUGAAUAAGUCUCAUGAGAGUUGAUGGUUUGAUAAGGGGUUUCCCCUUUUGCUUGGCUCUCAUUCUCUCUUGACUGCCACCAUGUAAGAUGUGCCUUUUGCCUUCCACCAUGAUUGUGAAGCCUCCCAGCCACAUGGAACUGUGAGUCCAUUAAACCUUUUUCUUUACAAAUUA